AAAACGACUCUCGGCAACGGAUAUCUCGGCUCUCGCAUCGAUGAAGAACGUAGCGAAAUGCGAUACUUGGUGUGAAUUGCAGAAUCCCGUGAACCAUCGAGUCUUUGAACGCAAGUUGCGCCCUAAGCCGUCAGGCCGAGGGCACGUCUGCCUGGGCGUCACGC
rnacentral:rRNA from 1 species